rnacentral:hammerhead_ribozyme from 1 species
GAACUGCUGAGGUGUCCAACAAUGGAACGAAACGGUCGUCCAGUGC